rnacentral:piRNA from 1 species
UGCCAAUCGAAGGUUCGUAUA